CUAACUUUGUGUCCAACCUCCCACAUGAAAUUAUCCUUUUAAAAGCGGGCUCAAUAUGUCUCAAUCUGCACUGCACUUCAUUCUAAGCUUUUGGGUAUAGUCUAUGGGACAGUGCCCAGAAAUAUAUUAAUUAAAGCGAGAUGUUGUGUCGAACUUAAAUAUUUCAGACUUUAUGACUGUGAAGAGGAGGAGGCUCAGAGACGCUGAAACAACAACGACUAUGAUGGUCUGCGAAAAAAAAGAGCGAACGAAGCCAAGGCUCUCCCAUUUUCACCUCAAACCUGAGCUGAACUCCGGAAUGCCGCGAACUGUUACACCCUAUCCCAGCGCCGGGGUCAGUGGGAGUGCGUCUCCUUUUCGAUAUGCAGACGGACCGGGACCCUCCGUUCGACCUCCGUAUAAGCUCCCCCUUGUCUGCGGAAGGAGCGGCCUCCGGAUGUCGUCAGUAAUGUGUUCUGAGCGCUGAUUUAGAGGGAACCCACCGGCCAGGCUUCUCUCAGAGUUAGCCUGACCGCUGGACUACCUGGGUGAGGAGUACGAGAGGGGGAGGAUAGGUAUCUCACUCACGCUACAAAUCACAUUUAUAUCCUUAAAAGAUGUGGAGAUCGAUUAAAUGCCACGGUGUCGUGUGGAAAGUGAAUUCUGUCCUAUAAAACAGUCUGUGAGGGGACUCGCCUUUUCCCUCCCUCCCCCAGUUUCGGUUGUCGUCUCUUACGUAAAAGUUAAUUGAGCCACUGAUUUUAGUGCUCAGGUCACAGGGGCUCGAAAUAUACUGGUGGAAACUGCUCAACCUCUCCAAGAUUCAUUUGUUUCUUUAUAUUUUACAUGACUAUUCUGGUUUCAUUGUGAAAAAGCAAAAAGUGUUUGUAUUAUUUGUACUUUUUACCCCCCAAUUUUGUGAUAUCCAAUUGGUAGUUACAGUCUUGUCCCAUUGCUGCAACUCCCCUACGGACUCGGGAGAGACGAAGGUCGUUAACCUGGAAGCCAGCCGUACAAAUGUGUUGGAGGAAACACCGGCCAACUGGUGACCAAAGUCUGCUUGCAUUAGGAGUCGCUAGAGCGCGAUGGGACAAGGAAAUACUGGCCGCCCUCCCCUCCCCUAACCCGGACGACGCUAGGCUAAUUGUGCAACGCUUCAUGGGUCUCCCGGUCACGGACGGCUGUGACACAGCCUGGGAUCGAACACAGGGCUGUAGUGACGCCUCAAGUACUGCGAUGCAGUGCCUUAGACCGCUGCGCCACUCGGGUGGCCCUCAAAAUAAAAUGUUGCCCAGAGGCUCACUUUUUUAUA